GAUGAACGCUAGCUACAGGCUUAACACAUGCAAGUCGAGGGGAAACGAUAGAGAAAGCUUGCUUUUUCUAGGCGUCGACCGGCGCACGGGUGAGUAACGCGUAUCCAACCUGCCCAUCACUUGGGGAUAACCUUGCGAAAGUAAGACUAAUACCCAAUGAUAUCUCUAGAAGACAUCUGAAAGAGAUUAAAGAUUUAUCGGUGAUGGAUGGGGAUGCGUCUGAUUAGCUUGUUGGCGGGGUAACGGCCCACCAAGGCGACGAUCAGUAGGGGUUCUGAGAGGAAGGUCCCCCACAUUGGAACUGAGACACGGUCCAAACUCCUACGGGAGGCAGCAGUGAGGAAUAUUGGUCAAUGGGCGCAGGCCUGAACCAGCCAAGUAGCGUGAAGGAUGACUGCCCUAUGGGGUUGUAAACUUCUUUUAUAAAGGAAUAAAGUCGGGUAUGUAUACCCGUUUGCAUGUACUUAUGAAUAAGGAUCGGCUAACUCCGUG
rnacentral:rRNA from 1 species